AAACAAAAAAAACUAACUCAUUUCUCAUUCUCUCUCUGCCCCCGCAUGACUCCCCUGUUUCUCUCUCCGCCCCCGCAGGACUCCACCUUCUUCUUCUUGACAGUGCAAGAGCUCGAAGUGAUCGAUCAACUUCUAUCGAGAUCGAGAGACAGAGUCAUUGGGCAUUUGGAAGGAAAGCGCCCGUGUGCCUCUCUCUCUCUCUCUCCUUUGAUGGCGAUACCAUGGCCGCUGACCUUCUUCAGCUCCACUUGCCCUCUCUUCACAGCCCUACCAUCCGUACGAUCGCAUUUCCUUACCCGCCGUCACCUUCCAACCAUCUCAGCAACCUCCCUUUCCACUUCCCAACCUUCACUCCCCAACAAAUCCCAUCCCUUCCACAAAACCCCACAACCGACGGCUGAAAAUCACAGCCUCCCACUUCAACUUCUCAUUCCCUCUGCUCAUCUCUUCUCACGAAUCACGAUCAUUGGGGAAUAUGGACCUCGCUCUUCACAGUUGGUGAAUUCGGCCUCUGGUCGGAGAAGACGAAAGUGCGGAGCGUGCUGAGCGGCGCCCUGGUCAGCACUCUGAUGGCGCUCGCCAUGACCAACUUCAACAUCAUUGCUAGUGAGGUCCCGGUGUAUUCUGUUGUCUUGGAGUAUCUGCUGCCCGUCGCCAUUCAUUUGCUGCUCUUCAGAGCAGAUCUGCGUCGCAUCCUGCAGUCCAUCAGACGCUGCUUUUGGUCUUCUUGCUUGGAUCAGGUUACGAGGGACUUGUUGGAUCAUCUAACUAGCCGGGAUGUUGGAACAUAAUUUAUUGUUGCAGUUUGAUCUAGACCAGUGUAUUUGGAAAAGUUGCACCAGUCCUCUAUCUAGACCAAUGUAUUUGGAUGUAAGCUAUUGCAGAUUGCAAUUUGUUAUUGAUUGUGCUUAAAAGAUGAACUUCAUUUCUCUGGCUUACUGAUCACAGUGCUAUGAAGGGAAACAACCUUUUGAAUUUGACUGGGCUCACAUGAUAAGAUCUUGCCUUAUAUUGUUGUGGACGAUUUGCAAAGAACAACACUUCAUAAUUGCCUGAUGCAAAAAUGAAGAAAUUUACAGAAGACGCUAUUAAAUUCGAAAUGGAUGACACUGCUGAACUGUAUGACUUUGAGGUUGAGAAGAUUUGUCGUCCGUUCAUAGAACCAAUCCGAUGAUAGCAACUUCAGAAUAGUUGGAUUUAAGAUGGAUGGAUGGGAUGGAAGUUGGAUCAAGUUGGUUGGGAGAAGCAUUUUUGGUUUUGCUGCAGCAGCUACCACUGUGAUUGCCAUCAGCUGCGAUUCCUUGGCCUCGCGGAGUCUCUCAUCAUCGCUUUCCCAGCUUCUCGUGGAGAGCUUGAUCAGCCUUGUGAAUAGGAUCGAGAGGGCCUAUAUGGUCCUCAGCGACUAUGGUGCCAACAACUCCCUGCUAACUCUUUGGGAAGCCCUUCCACUCGUCGCCGUCGUUAGUGGACAUGUUUGUCUCUCAAUCUGUUUCCAUAUACUUUAGGUUCUUCAUUUUUGUUGAGUUAUAUGGUUUAUACUUUGAUUUUAUUUCAUUUGAUUGCAGAAUUCUGCAAAAUCAUUGAUUUUAGAGAGCAUCAUCGGGCGUGAUUUUCUUCCUAGGGGAUCUAUUGCACAAGACAGACAAAGGACAGACGGAGCAUGUUGAGUUUCUUCACUUGCCAAAGAGGAGAUUUUCAGGUUUCGCAACGAACAUCUUCAAGUAGGCAGAGGAACUGCAAAGGCGAAAUAAUUACUUUCUACUACCAUUGAUCUGAAUUGUUUUUUUUCUUAUGAAAUAAGGUAUUUCCACCAAGCUCUUUUUUUAAUAAUUAUUUAGUAAGUAGGUUGAUUAGAUUGUUGAAUGAAUACAUGGAUAUGAAAAACUAACAUUGAAUGAUGAGGGAAUGGAAAACUACAGAUUUCAUCAGUUACUCUGCUCUACUUUCUACUCCAUGAAUCUGUUUUUGUUUUUGUUUUUGUUUUUAUGUUUUGUGAAAUUCGAUACGGUGGUUGAUGAAGGAUUUAUUUAUUUAUUUAUAUAUAUGAUGAAUUCCGCCCCUUGUUCUCCAUAAUCAAGAAAAUUAGAAUUCCUCAAAAAAUCAUU